GAAGGUCACCUUUGGGCUGAAGAAUAAUAAAACUGCUGAGUUCAAGAAGACUGAUCGCAGUGUGCUCCUGAGUCCAGAUGGUUUGGCCCGAGUGCCAUUUGACCCACAGCAAAAACCAAAGUUUGGGGUCCUGAAGUCUCCGCCCAACACAGUAUUCAGUGGCUACAAGAAAAUACCUAAGAGCACCAAGAAGACCCUUAACAGAUCGAAGAAGACCAGAGCCAAAUCUCUGCCAAACACACCCAAAAGACGACCUUUGGCUGCAGACUUUUUUUAACUUCCUAAAA